CGGGGUGUAGCUCAGCCAGGUAGAGCGCUGUGUUCGGGUCGCAGAGGCCAGAGGUUCGAAUCCUCCCACCCCGACCA
rnacentral:tRNA from 1 species